rnacentral:rRNA from 1 species
AUUGAACGCUGGCGGCAGGCUUAACACAUGCAAGUCGAACGAUGAUUAUCUAGCUUGCUAGAUAUGAUUAGUGGCGGACGGGUGAGUAACAUUUAGGAAUCUGCCUAGUAGUGGGGGAUAGCUCGGGGAAACUCGAAUUAAUACCGCAUACGACCUACGGGUGAAAGGGGGCGCAAGCUCUUGCUAUUAGAUGAGCCUAAAUCAGAUUAGCUAGUUGGUGGGGUAAAGGCCCACCAAGGCGACGAUCUGUAACUGGUCUGAGAGGAUGAUCAGUCACACCGGAACUGAGACACGGUCCGGACUCCUACGGGAGGCAGCAGUGGGGAAUAUUGGACAAUGGGGGCAACCCUGAUCCAGCCAUGCCGCGUGUGUGAAGAAGGCCUUUUGGUUGUAAAGCACUUUAAGCAGGGAGGAGAGGCUAAUGGUUAAUACCCAUUAGAUUAGACGUUACCUGCAGAAUAAGCACCGGCUAACUCUGUGCCAGCAGCCGCGGUAAUACAGAGGGUGCGAGCGUUAAUCGGAAUUACUGGGCGUAAAGCGAGUGUAGGUGGCUCAUUAAGUCACAUGUGAAAUCCCCGGGCUUAACCUGGGAACUGCAUGUGAUACUGGUGGUGCUAGAAUAUGUGAGAGGGAAGUAGAAUUCCAGGUGUAGCGGUGAAAUGCGUAGAGAUCUGGAGGAAUACCGAUGGCGAAGGCAGCUUCCUGGCAUAAUAUUGACACUGAGAUUCGAAAGCGUGGGUAGCAAACAGGAUUAGAUACCCUGGUAGUCCACGCCGUAAACGAUGUCUACUAGCCGUUGGGGUCCUUGAGACUUUAGUGGCGCAGUUAACGCGAUAAGUAGACCGCCUGGGGAGUACGGCCGCAAGGUUAAAACUCAAAUGAAUUGACGGGGGCCCGCACAAGCGGUGGAGCAUGUGGUUUAAUUCGAUGCAACGCGAAGAACCUUACCUGGUCUUGACAUAGUGAGAAUCCUGCAGAGAUGCGGGAGUGCCUUCGGGAAUUCACAUACAGGUGCUGCAUGGCUGUCGUCAGCUCGUGUCGUGAGAUGUUGGGUUAAGUCCCGCAACGAGCGCAACCCUUUUCCUUAUUUGCCAGCGGGUUAAGCCGGGAACUUUAAGGAUACUGCCAGUGACAAACUGGAGGAAGGCGGGGACGACGUCAAGUCAUCAUGGCCCUUACGACCAGGGCUACACACGUGCUACAAUGGUAGGUACAGAGGGUUGCUACACAGCGAUGUGAUGCUAAUCUCAAAAAGCCUAUCGUAGUCCGGAUUGGAGUCUGCAACUCGACUCCAUGAAGUCGGAAUCGCUAGUAAUCGCGGAUCAGAAUGCCGCGGUGAAUACGUUCCCGGGCCU